AUUGAACGCUGGCGGCAUGCUUUACACAUGCAAAUCGAACGGUAACAGGCCUUCGGGUGCUGACGAGUGGCGAACGGGUGAGUAAUGCAUCGGAACGUGCCCAGAGGUGGGGGAUAACGCAGCGAAAGCUGUGCUAAUACCGCAUGUGAUCUGAGGAUGAAAGCGGGGGACCAGGCAGCAAUGUUUGGCCUCGCGCCUUUGGAGCGGCCGAUGUCAGAUUAGGUAGUUGGUGGGGUAAAGGCCUACCAAGCCGACGAUCUGUAGCUGGUCUGAGAGGACGACCAGCCACACUGGGACUGAGACACGGCCCAGACUCCUACGGGAGGCAGCAGUGGGGAAUUUUGGACAAUGGGCGCAAGCCUGAUCCAGCAAUGCCGCGUGCGGGAAGAAGGCCUUCGGGUUGUAAACCGCUUUUGUACGGAACGAAAAGGCUCUGGCUAAUACCUGGGGCUGAUGACGGUACCGUAAGAAUAAGCACCGGCUAACUACGUG
rnacentral:rRNA from 1 species